AGCAGCCGCGGUAAUUCCAGCUUCAAUAGCGUAUAUUAAAGUUGUUGCAGUUAAAAAGCUCGUAGUUGAAUUUCGGAAUCUGUCCGUUGGUCGGGCUUCACUGUCCGUACUGAUGUGAUGGGUUCUUACCUUCUGAAUAACCAUCAUGUCAUUAAUUUGGUGUGUUGGGGAAGCAGGACUAUUACCUUGAAAAAAUUAGAGUGCUCAAAGCAGGCUAGUGCCUGAAUACAUUAGCAUGGAAUAAUAAAAUAGGACGGCAUGGUUCUAUUUUGUUGGUUUCUAGGAUCACCGUAAUGAUUAAUAGGGAUAGUUGGGGGCAUUAGUAUUCAAUUGUCAGAGGUGAAAUUCUUGGAUUUAUUGAAGACUAACUUCUGCGAAAGCAUUUGCCAAGGAUGUUUUCAUUAAUCAAGAACGAAAGUUAGGGGAUCGAAGACGAUCAGAUACCGUCGUAGUCUUAACCAUAAACUAUGCCGACUAGGGAUCGGACGAUGUUAAUUUUAUAAUGACUCGUUCGGCGUCC
rnacentral:rRNA from 1 species